UAAGCUGAUGCAGCUGUGGUGAAAGCUGUUGAAAACUGGAGUUCAGCUGUUAUGGAUUUGAGAUAUUGCUAACCCUGCAUUUAUCCACAGGAAUAGUGAGGAGUCCCAUGGCAGCACCUGCAGCAAAUAGGGAAAAACCGAUGACUCAUUAGUUAUUGGCAUUGGAAAUGGCCAAACUUCAGGGAUGCCAGGCGCAUCUUCUGCUGCAGGCUGUAGCGUCCCCAGGCUGCCCCAGACGGCCCCAGGGAGUGUCCCAGACUCAAACUGCCACCGGGCACAGGGAGCAAGAGCCUGUGAGACUGUGGCUCCAGGUCAGGUCUGGGUUUGGGCUCGGGGCAGUGGCGUCCCGCCCCCCAGGUGGGGGCAGGGAAGGGUUGGUGGCCUCUGCUGCACCUUGGAAAGUCCCUGCUGCACUGUGACUGGCUUGCUCACGCGGCAGUCGCCGCGCCGCUUCACGCACCCUCAGGUAACAAAAAGUAUUUAGUUACUACUACCUUUUGUUACAACUCCUUCCCUGAUAGUCCUUCCUCCUCUAAACUUUAUUCCUCUUUCUGACUAGAGUUCCUGGGCUUUUAUCAACGUAUGCCCUAGCUGUUCUUGGUUUUACAGGGGUGCCUCCUUCCUUCAGCAAUUUACUUAACACUCUUUCAGUUUGGUUCCACCCAACUUCUGAUCCCAUAUUUCCAUAACAAAGACAAUACAACACACCAAGACAAAAUAAGACAAAAACACACUGUAUCAAUCUUCCCCAUUUUCUUGAAAUGGCCAUCCUUCCUCUCGCCCUAUCUGCUUCUAGGGACGAGCAGCUUUGCUCCUGUCCUAUCUAUUUCUAGGGACGGGCAGCUGUCCUUGUCACUUACCCCCAAGCAUCCUGGGGCUCCCCAUAUGGGCCACCAUCUGACGCAGUCUGGCUGGGCAAAUAACUGGGAGGUGACAAGCAAAUUGUAAAGAUUGAAACAGCAGGAGCCGUUUUAUUAUGAGACAGCAGAGGUAUAUAUACCCAACUAAUUACACACAGCUUAACUUAAUUAACAUCAUCUAGAUACAGCAGUCAGUCAUUAAGGAAUCCUCAUCAUCUAAAUGGCUCGCUGGCGUUACUUCAGAAAACACUCCUCCUGGCAAACUGCCAGGCGCCCUCUUGACAUGGUUGUGGCCCUCAACAUGAAUGGAUAAAGAAAAUAAGGUAUAUUAUAUCUGCACAAAGGAAUAUUACUCAGACAUAAAUAGGAAUGAAUUUAUGACAUAUGUCAGUAAAUGGAUAGAUAUGGAAACUAUCAUGCUAAGUAAAAUAAGCAGUUCCAAUAAACCAAAGGUCAAAUGUUCUGAUAUUUGGAUGCUAACACCUACAGGGGGGAAAGGAAAGGAAGAAUAAAACUUCAGAGGAUUAGACAAUGGGGAAUGAAGAAAAGGGAAGGGGAAAGGGAAUGGAAAAAUCAGUGGAAUGAAUUUGACUUAACUUUACUAUAAUCAUAUGUGAAUACAUCAAAAUGAAUCUCUAUAUCAUGUACAUCCACAAGCCUGGGAUCCUAAUUAGGAAAAGAUGCACUCUAUGUUUGUAUAAACAUGUCAAAAUAGACUCUGCUGUUAUGUAUAGCUAACUAAAAAGAACAAAUUACAAAAUCAGAUUAAAACCUUUCUCUUCUUGGUGACAGGGAUAGAACUGAGGGCACUGUGGAAAGGAUAAGUGUCACUCAUCCCACCAGGGUUCACAGACAAAAUCUCCUGAGGAGGAGGAAGCCCUGCUUGGCAAAGCAGUGUGAGGGAGGGAGGUGAUGUGGUUCAGCCUGUCACUGCUGGACCCUCCCCAUAGGCAUUUCUCAAUAAGGACACUUUUCUUGAAUGCACUCUCCAGGUAUUCUUUUGGUCUUUUAGAAACUAUGCCACUGCCCUGACACAACUGGACUAUGAACAUGGCUACAGAAUACACAAAUAAACUCCACUGUCUGUACCCUUUAAGGACUUUUAGUAUCCUUGUGCAUUAUAAUAAUGUAAAAAAUAAAAGUUUACAGAUGCCAGUCAGGGGUAGGAUUAAUAAUAGGCUCUUGAACAAAGAGAAAUGUGCUAUGUGACCUCUGGCUCUCUGACUGUAUAUCUAUAUGACAGAGCUAAACACUUGCUGGAAAUACACACACACAUAUGUAUGUAUGUGUGUGUGUGUAUAAUAUAUAUAUAUAUAUAUAUAUAUAUAUAUAUAUAUAUAUAUAUUCAAAGGAUAUAGACUUACAAAUAAGAAAUUAUAUUCUUCUUUUAAGGGAUUAUUCAUAUAAGCAUCAGCCCUUAAAGCUAAAUCAGUCUCUUUUGUGCAAAAUACAAUGAAUGGAAAUGGCAAUUAUUGUAUAAUCUAUAAAAUUUGGAAGAUGAUUUGAAAGUUCAUUUGUUGAAUAUUAAAAAGGCAAAUCAAACUGCUCUUUUCUGUUUUAAAUUUAUCAGAAAUUUCUUUUUCCAGGAAAUCAAAAUGAAUGUGAUUCUGUUCCUGUUGCCUCUGCUGAUUCUACCCCUGAAUUUCUCAGAAUGUGAGAAGCUCUGACCCUGAAAAUUGAAGAGAAAGGAAUUUCCUGGCAGAAAACCAGCCCUCGCUCAAAGUGCUUUUGCUCAGUACCACAAACCUCACUGGAAGCCCCCAGUUUUGUCUGUUAUAAUUCCAUUUACUAUUAAAAUUCUGCCUUGCAAACUUGGAA